rnacentral:lncRNA from 10 species
GACACGCCCUCUAGGCGUAAGGUUCCAUGCGAGCGGUAAGAGUGCGGCGGGACUUGGAAAUCGAAUCUGUGCUCUGUGAGAGAUCCUAGGAAAGGAAACUGGGAGCCCGGGAGAACUAAAAUUCCCAAUUAAAAGUGAAUUUAAAUCUGAGCUGUUCUUAGACCCAGAAUUUCUUGCCUGAAGGAGGAAUCAGGUCCCCACAAGGAAAGACCCUGCAACUGUAUAAAAAAAGAAUCUAAAAAGAUCAUGACUCCUUCAGUCCUUUCCCAAAGAGACCUAUGGAAAUUUCCUCAGGAAGAGGGACCAAGCAAAACCCCAGAAGAGUUGAUCUCAAAGCUUAUUUUAUGAAGAAAAUUGACCUGAGUGACACAAAGGGUUGGACUGUAGUAGAUGUCACGUUUUGCUGCCUAGAUCUCCAUCCAGGGAUGAACUCUUAUUUCCUCAGCUUCUUUGUCUCCUCAGCUUCUGGGAGGGUUGGCAGCUGAUAUUCUCACCUGAGUCCCUUUCUAGGACUUGCCCUUGCCUGAAGAGAGCUGUGCUGCCCAACAUGAUGCCUCCUCCAAGGUACAAUCCACACCCAGUGACUAAUAAACAGGGGUUACAAAGGCAUGCCUGCUUGCCCCAGUUUGGGACAACUUUACCAGGCCAACCCAGCCUCAAGGCUCUCCACAGGAACAGGUGAGUCUCAGCCAAUCACAGCAGCCAAGCUACAGCCAAUCCCAUGUGGCCAACUGAUCAGCCUAUGCCCAGUAAGACAACUGCUCACCUGUAACUACUCAAGCUGCUUCUGGACCUCAUUUCCAUUUGCUGUUUAUAAGUGCUGCCUGCCCACUUUGCUGAGCAGAACUCUCUGAACUUCUUUCGUUUUUGAGGGUUACUUGAUUAGAAAAUUGUUCUUUGUUCAAUUAAAUUUUGCUAAAUAUAAUUCUUUUAAAGAUUUUCUUUUAACAACAAAGAUGGGGAUAUUUGAACAAUACCUUGGUUGGAGGUGACAUUCUAAUUUCUAAAUUGAGGCUAUUUGUAUUUUUAGCAGGACCCAAGGACUGUCACUUAAAAGCAGGCUAAAAAGCCUUGAAAUUUUCUAACUUUCCAUGCGAGAGCAGUGAUAGAUAACCCCACUACGCAAAAUGUCAUGGGGCAAUGGGAGACAAAAACUAAAGCUGUGUUUCAACUGCGUCUCUGAAUGAUACGAUUAUAGCACUUACACAAUAACCACUUGAGAAAAAAGAACAGCCUUGCACCAAAAAUCGAAUGAGAAGUACAAGCACAGUGAAGUAACAGGUCACUUUACAAAAAAAAGUAAAGGCUGAAAGGGGACGAGCAAAUUGCCCAAGUCUGCAUGGGUGAUAAGUAGCAGAUCUGGGGCUCGAAUCCAGAUCCUGAGCUUUUAAUACCUAUGCAACACUUCCUCUGUUCCUUCCCUUCUGAGAACGUCAUUAUGUUCAUUGGGGUGUAUCCCCUGCUAUGGUUUACAGGGGAGGGUUCACACUUUCACCAUUCUGAAAGAUUAUUUUGAAUUUAAAAAGCUGGCAAGAUGUCUCUGAACAAUGGAACAUAGCCCAAGGCUGCAAUUUUGUUGCACACAUUACAGUGUUUUAAGGCCACUGGUGGCCUGUUCUUUGAGAUGAAAACAAUACAUCAGUAGGAACAAAGUGAAAGAGAGUAAACUGGUCUCCAGGUACCCAAACAGUAUGUGAAGUCAACAGAGGAACACUUCCUGUGGUCUAUUAAUAAUUCAGAAGCCCUUUAUCCUCAACCCUCCUCCACUCUCUAAUUCCUAAGUCUUCUUCCUAGUGUCUCUUACUUCCUCUUUCCAAAUAGUCUGGGCUGGCAGGCUGCAUUUAGGUAAUCACUGCACAAUACAAUUACUGAUUCUGUUUACAAGAUUCUUGCUAGUAUUUUAUUUUUACCCUUUAUAGUGUUUGGCUUUUAAAAGCAAAUGAAUAUGGAGUCAUGAUUUUUUGGCUGCCUUUCCCUUUGGCAUAUGAUAUUUAUGCCUUUAAAACUUGUUGUUGUUCCAGGGCAUUUCACUGAUGAAAUUUAUCAAAAUGAACCUACAAAUCAGCCACUAAGAGACUGCAUGAAUAAAAACUGUUAGUAGGAAAAUGAUUAUGACAAAA